rnacentral:rRNA from 1 species
GACGAACGCUGGCGGCGUGCUUAACACAUGCAAGUCGAACGCUGAAGCUCAGCUUUUGUUGGGUGGAUGAGUGGCGAACGGGUGAGUAACACGUGAGUAACCUGCCUCCUUCUUUGGGAUAACGCCCGGAAACGGGUGCUAAUACUGGAUAUUCACUGGUCUUCGCAUGGGGGUUGGUGGAAAGGGUUUUUCUGGUGGGGGAUGGGCUCGCGGCCUAUCAGCUUGUUGGUGGGGUGAUGGCCUACCAAGGCUUUGACGGGUAGCCGGCCUGAGAGGGUGACCGGUCACAUUGGGACUGAGAUACGGCCCAGACUCCUACGGGAGGCAGCAGUGGGGAAUAGUGCACAAUGGGCGCAAGCCUGAUGCAGCGACGCCGCGUGAGGGAUGGAGGCCUUCGGGUUGUGAACCUCUUUCGCUCAUGGUCAAGCCGCAACAAUGGUUGUGGUGAGGGUAGUGGGUAAAGAAGCGCCGGCUAACUACGU